UACGAAGGGGGCUAGCGUUGUUCGGAAUUACUGGGCGUAAAGGGCGCGUAGGCGGACAUUUAAGUCAGGGGUGAAAUCCCAGGGCUCAACCCUGGAACUGCCUUUGAUACUGGAUGUCUGGAGUUCGGGAGAGGUGAGUGGAAUUCCGAGUGUAGAGGUGAAAUUCGUAGAUAUUCGGAGGAACACCAGAAGCGAAGGCGGCUCACUGGCCCGAUACUGACGCUGAGGCGCGAAAGCGUGGGGAGCAAACAGG
rnacentral:rRNA from 1 species